UAGGGAAUCUUCCGCAAUGGACGCAAGUCUGACGGAGCAACGCCGCGUGAGUGAAGAAGGAUUUCGGUUCGUAAAACUCUGUUGUUAGAGAAGAACAGCGCAUAGAGUAACUGUUAUGCGUGUGACGGUAUCUAACCAGAAAGCCACGGCUAACUACGUGCCAGCAGCCGCGGUAAUACGUAGGUGGCAAGCGUUGUCCGGAUUUAUUGGGCGUAAAGCUAGCGCAGGCGGUCAAUUAAGUCUGAUGUGAAAGCCCCCGGCGCAACCGGGGAGGGUCAUUGGAAACUGGUUGACUUGAGUGCAGAAGAGGAGAGUGGAAUUACAUGUGUAGCGGUGAAAUGCGUAGAUAUAUGGAGGAACACCAGUGGCGAAGGAGACUCUCUGGUCUGUAACUGACGAUGAGGCUCGAAAGCGUGGGUAGCAAACAGG
rnacentral:rRNA from 1 species